rnacentral:lncRNA from 1 species
GUCAGUAGCAUCACUCAUCCACCUUACUAUAGUGAUACAUCUUGAUGGGACCAUUGGCAGGUGUAGCAGCUUCGAAGGCCGAAACUUUGGUGAAACCGGCACCAUUAGUGGCCCUUUCAAUGGCUUUGGAGGUGAAGAUCGGCACUUCCAAGGGAGAACUUUGGGGCCGAUGGACGUCGGACUUGCUUCAUCUGGACCUUCUUCAAUUAGGAAUGAAGGAAAAGCAUGGCAGCUCACUUCGAUCGG